rnacentral:rRNA from 1 species
CCUACGGGCGACAGCAGUGGGGAAUAUUGCACAAUGGGGGAAACCCUGAUGCAGCGACGCCGCGUGAGUGAAGAAGUAUUUCGGUAUGUAAAGCUCUAUCAGCAGGGAAGAAGAAAGACGAUACCUGACUAAGAAGCACCGGCUAACUACGUGCCAGCAGCCGCGGUAAUACGUAGGGGGCAAGCGUUAUCCGGAUUUACUGGGGGGAAAGGGAGCGUAGACGGCUGUGCAAGUCUGAAGUGAAAGCCCAGGGCUCAACCCUGGGACUGCUUUGGAAACUGUGGAGCUAGAGUGCUGGAGAGGUAAGUGGAAUUCCUAGUGUAGCGGUGAAAUGCGUAGAUAUUAGGAGGAACACCAGUGGCGAAGGCGGCUUACUGGACAGUAACUGACGUUGAGGCUCGAAAGCGUGGGGAGCAAACAGGAUUAGAUACCCUUGUAGUC